rnacentral:rRNA from 1 species
CGCGGCCUAUCAGCUUGUUGGUGGGGUGAUGGCCUACCAAGGCGACGACGGGUAGCCGGCCUGAGAGGGCGACCGGCCACAUUGGGACUGAGACACGGCCCAGACUCCUACGGGAGGCAGCAGUGGGGAAUAUUGCACAAUGGGCGCAAGCCUGAUGCAGCGACGCCGCGUGAGGGAUGACGGCCUUCGGGUUGUAAACCUCUUUCGCCAGGGACGAAGCCUUUUGGGGUGACGGUACCUGGAGAAGAAGCACCGGCUAACUACGUGCCAGCAGCCGCGGUAAUACGUAGGGUGCGAGCGUUGUCCGGAAUUAUUGGGCGUAAAGAGCUCGUAGGCGGUUUGUCGCGUCGGCCGUGGAAACUGGAGGCUUAACCUUCAGCGUGCGGUCGAUACGGGCAGACUUGAGUUCGGUAGGGGAGUCUGGAAUUCCUGGUGUAGCGGUGAAAUGCGCAGAUAUCAGGAGGAACACCGGUGGCGAAGGCGGGACUCUGGGCCGAUACUGACGCUGAGGAGCGAAAGCGUGGGGAGCGGACAGGAUUAGAUACCCUGGUAGUCCACGCUGUAAACGUUGGGCGCUAGGUGUGGGUAACAUUCCACGUUGUCCGUGCCGUAGCUAACGCAUUAAGCGCCCCGCCUGGGGAGUACGG